rnacentral:rRNA from 1 species
GAUGAACGCUGGCGGCGUGCCUAAUACAUGCCAGUCGAGCGAACAGAUGAGGAGCUUGCUCCUCUGACGUUAGCGGCGGACGGGUGAGUAACACGUGGAUAACCUACCUAUAAGACUGGGAUAACUUCGAGAAACCGGAGCUAAUACCGGAUAAUAUAUUGAACCGCAUGGUUCAAUAGUGAAAGACGGCUUUGCUGUCACUUAUAGAUGGAUCCGCGCCGCAUUAGCUAGUUGGUAAGGUAACGGCUUACCAAGGCAACGAUGCGUAGCCGACCUGAGAGGGUGAUCGGCCACACUGGAACUGAGACACGGUCCAGACUCCUACGGGAGGCAGCAGUAGGGAAUCUUCCGCAAUGGGCGAAAGCCUGACGGAGCAACGCCGCGUGAGUGAUGAAGGUCUUCGGAUCGUAAAACUCUGUUAUUAGGGAAGAACAAAUGUGUAAGUAACUAUGCACGUCUUGACGGUACCUAAUCAGAAAGCCACGGCUAACUACGUG